rnacentral:rRNA from 1 species
GUGGGGAAUUUUGGACAAUGGGCGCAAGCCUGAUCCAGCAAUGCCGCGUGCAGGAAGAAGGCCUUCGGGUUGUAAACUGCUUUUGUACGGAACGAAACGGUCCUGGUUAAUACCUGGGGCUAAUGACGGUACCGUACGAAUAAGCACCGGCUAACUACGUGCCAGCAGCCGCGGUAAUACGUAGGGUGCGAGCGUUAAUCGGAAUUACUGGGCGUAAAGCGUGCGCAGGCGGUGCUGUAAGACAGGCGUGAAAUCCCCGGGCUCAACCUGGGAAUUGCGCUUGUGACUGCAGUGCUGGAGUACGGCAGAGGGGGAUGGAAUUCCGCGUGUAGCAGUGAAAUGCGUAGAUAUGCGGAGGAACACCGAUGGCGAAGGUAGUCCCCUGGGCCUGUACUGACGCUCAUGCACGAAAGCGUGGGGAGCAAACAGGAUUAGAUACCCCGGUAGUCC